rnacentral:rRNA from 1 species
AACGAACGCUGGCGGCAUGCCUAACACAUGCAAGUCGAACGAGAUCUUCGGGUCUAGUGGCGCACGGGUGCGUAACGCGUGGGAAUCUGCCCUUUGGUUCGGAAUAACAGUUGGAAACGACUGCUAAUACCGGAUGAUGACGAAAGUCCAAAGAUUUAUCGCCAGAGGAUGAGCCCGCGUAGGAUUAGCUAGUUGGUGUGGUAAAGGCGCACCAAGGCGACGAUCCUUAGCUGGUCUGAGAGGAUGAUCAGCCACACUGGGACUGAGACACGGACCAGACUCCUACGGGAGGCAGCAGUGGGGAAUAUUGGACAAUGGGCGAAAGCCUGAUCCAGCAAUGCCGCGUGAGUGAUGAAGGCCUUAGGGUUGUAAAGCUCUUUUACCCGGGAUGAUAAUGACAGUACCGGGAGAAUAAGCUCCGGCUAGCUCCGUGCCAGCCGCCGCGGUAA